ensembl:lncRNA
GAUUCAUACAGCAGCUCUUUUUUCUUUUUCAAACAAGGUGCAGCUGGGUGUGUUCCUGGGUGUGGGUCCUGAUGAAUGCGCAGGGAGAGGAUGCGCUGGCAGGCGCUGUGCAUCAGCAGAAGCAUGGAGCGUGGCAGAGCCAGGUCCGGGCAUUGCAGCCCUGACCACCGUUCCCAGGAGAAGCCCCACUCCGCAUUUCUGUGGGGGCUGAAGGAGAGGCUUGGGAUGGGAACCACCUGGGUAACCGAGGCGACGGAGGCCCUCCUCCCAGGCUCUUCAUUUGGAGCCUAGUUCACACCACGCAUCCGGUAAACCCUGAUGCUCAGGGACUCUUGAGCCCUCUGUGGCUCCCUCGCCCUUCAGUGUCACAGGGCAACGGAGCCUUGCCCAGUAGCCGGGCAGGGUCAGAUGAAGGUCUCUGCUUGAAAGGCCGGAGAGGAGGGACCUCCGCAGGCCAGAUCGCAGGAAUGGACGGCGCAUGCUCCAGAGGGGAUGCUUGGCCGGAUGAUGCGGGGCAAGGGUUCGGGGGAGGCAGCCAUCCAGGCGUCCGGCGCGUGAAACUCUGGAGCGUUUAUCCCACCUACGUCUCAGGGCUAAGCAGAGAGAUAAAUACAGACUUCGAAAAGAAAGACAGACUUUUAUAGCAGCUGCAUAUAAAAAACGAAAUCAUUUCAUACAUGCUGAACAUAAAGGAGGUAGCCUACAAAGGUCUGGUGUUAAGAUAUUUGGAUUGGAGCUUUAUGUCUUUUAACAAGUGUUUAGUGGGACUUCCCUGGCGGCUCCGUGGUUAGGACUGCACCUUCUAAUGCCGGGGGUGUGCGUUCCAUCCCUGGUUGGGGAAUUCUGAUCCCACACCUGGAGGGCGCCAACCAAAAAAGAAGUGAGGUUGUGAAGACGCUAUAUUCACAGACAUUAUUUGGGGAAUUAGAGUAGAGAAGAUGGGAGCCAGUUCCUCUCCACGCUCCUUAAAUGCAUUGGUUACACAGAACACGUGGCCUUGGAUGGACCCAUAGGACAGCACCAUGAAGAUAACCCUCUUCUGGACACAUUUGCUCCAGAAAUAUCUUCUCCCAAAUUUGUGCUGCUGCUGCUAAUUUGUGUCCAAUUCUGUGCGACCCCAUAGACGGCAGCCCACCAGGCUCUGCCGUCCCUGGGAUUCUCCAGGCAAGAACACUGGAGUGGGCUGCCAUUUCCUUCUCCAAUGCAUGAAAGUGAAAAAUGAAAGUGAAGUCGCUCAGUCGUGUCUGACUCUUCGAGACCCCAUGGAC